UUCAAUAAUUUACAAUCCAUAUAGUAUGGAUCGAAUAUUUCUGAUUCAUUAUAAUUGAGUGAAGUGAAAGAAAAGUAACUAGAAAUCGUAGACUACAAAGUAUGGAGAUAGAGAAUAACUAGAAAGACAAGUGUGACUGUAAAUUGAAAUGGUGGGGAGAGUCGCUAAUUGAUUCGACAGAGGUUGUAUAGUUCGGUCUACGGCUAUCGAAGCGCCCCGAGCGGUCUUCUUCCGCAAAGUAUUCGAUUGAAAAGUUUCGUACAGAACUUGAACCCAUAUUCUCGCUUCUUGUCACCGCCUCGAUAGUUUGGGGUAACGUCAAAGUGAGCGACAAUAGUGAUUGUCGAUAAGUGGAAACUUGGUGGAAAUUGAUAGAAUUCUCUGAUCGAUGUGCAAUGCAAGUUGAUACAUUUCAACAAAUAGACAAAUGUUUUUUUAAAAUUCAAUUCGACAAUGAAAAAUAAAUUCGAAAAAUCUCGAAUUUCUCUUCGUUUCUCUCGAUGAUAUUAGCAUAGAUCGAUGCGAAAUAAUGUGAACAGUGUUUGGACAGGGAAGUUUCGAGGAAGUUUCGCAAUGGUUGGAGGGGAUUCGAUGGAAAAAGUUGGGACUUCUGUUCGCGGUACCGGUACUCGAGUAUUUGAUAAACGAUUCCUCUCUCUCUGGUCCGGUUUCUACCAGAAACUUUCGUUUUUCGAGCAGAACACGGAACGAACGGAGAGCCGGUGGUGGUAACUCGACUAGGAAACUCGUGCAUUCGAUUCAUUUGCAUGCGUUCCACGUACACGACACACGACUAGAUUUUCACUUGGAAUUUAAGACUCGAUUUACACAGACGACACCGGUCAUAAUGUCGUUAGAGCUCGGUCACACUACAUUUAAAGUGAUAAUCGAUUUUCUUCAAAAACUCGUCGAGGAUUUGGAGAUUUUUCUUGAGGACGUGGUGUGUUUUCAGAAUUACGAAAUAUUUAAACUAUUAAUAUUCAAUUUAAGCAUUAAUUUUUCUUUGAAUUAAUUAAUUUCAAAUUUCACUUCAAGUUCGCAGAUGUGAAAUUUGCAAUUUAUUUCCGCACGAUCCAAUCGAGUAUUCGAAAUGUGUACAUGAAAGUGUGUGAAUUACAACAUAUCCACGGGAUAAGAAAUUGCGUUAAAAAAAGGAGGAUUAGACUUUGCUUUAGACGUUGAAAUAUUCAAUUUUCAUGAAACAAUCCUCUAACAUUUUUUCCAAUUUCAUCCGCCAUUUCGAGGCAAGGUUAUACCGGCUCGAAUUAAUCAUCAUGAAAGAGGAUUGGAUAAAAAUCUCAUCCUCUCUGCCUAUGGAUCGCUGGU